UCACCGUCACGGCUGCUCACACUCAUGGACCCACUGCUGCCCCUCGGCGUGCUGCUCAAGUGCCUCAGUGCCUAUACAGGUGGGUAUGGGGCAGAGAUGGGUCCCUAUGUAUCCCUAUGGGGCUCUAUGGGGCACUAUGGGGCAUCAGUGGGUCCCUAUGGGUCGCUAUGGGGCAGCUAUGGGGCUAUAUGGGGCAGCUAUGGGUCUCUAUGGGUCACCGUCACGGCUGCUCACACUCAUGGACCCACUGCUGCCCCUCGGCGUGCUGCUCAAGUGUCUCAGUGCUUACACAGGUGGGUAUGGGGGGCUAUGGGGUGAUAUGGGGCACCUAUGGGGCUAUAUGGGGGACUAUUGGUCCCUAUGGGUCCCUAUGGGACUCUAUGGGGCUCUAUGGGGCUCUAUGGGACACUAUGGGGCAGAUAUGGGGCAGAUAUGGGGCUCUAUGGGGCUCUAUUGGGCUCUGUGUGUCCCUUGGGUCCCUAUGGGUCUCUAUGGGUCUCUAUGGUCCAUAUUGGGCAGCUGUGCGGUCGCUUGGGCAGCUUGGGGCAGCUCUGGGUCUCUAUGGGUCUCGUAUGGGGCACUAUGGGCCACC
rnacentral:lncRNA from 1 species